UUUUAUGGAGAGUUUGAUCCUGGCUCAGGAUGAACGCUGGCGGCGUGCCUAAUACAUGCAAGUCGAGCGAACAGACGAGGAGCUUGCUCCUCUGACGUUAGCGGCGGACGGGUGAGUAACACGUGGAUAACCUACCUAUAAGACUGGGAUAACUUCGGGAAACCGGAGCUAAUACCGGAUAAUAUAUUGAACCGCAUGGUUCAAUAGUGAAAGACGGUUUUGCUGUCACUUAUAGAUGGAUCCGCGCCGCAUUAGCUAGUUGGUAAGGUAACGGCUUACCAAGGCAACGAUGCGUAGCCGACCUGAGAGGGUGAUCGGCCACACUGGAACUGAGACACGGUCCAGACUCCUACGGGAGCAGCAGUAGGGAAUCUCGCAAUGGG
rnacentral:rRNA from 1 species